rnacentral:rRNA from 1 species
GACGAACGCUGGCGGCGUGCUUAACACAUGCAAGUCGAACGGAAAGGCUCCAGCUUGCUGGAGUACUCGAGUGGCGAACGGGUGAGUAACACGUGGGUAAUCUGCCCUGCACUCUGGGAUAAGCCUGGGAAACUGGGUCUCAUACUGGAUAUGACCUUUCUCCUUUUGGGGUUUGGUGGAAAGUUUUUCGGUGUAGGAUGAGCCCGCGGCCGAUCAGCUUGUUGGUGGGGUGAUGGCCUACCAAGGCGACGCCGGGUAGCCGGCCUGAGAGGGGGAUAGGCCACAUUGGGACUGAGAUAAGGCCCAGACUCCUACGGGAGGCAGCAGUAGGGAAUAUUGUACAAGGGGCGGAAGGCUGAUGCAGCGACGCCGCGUGAGGGAUGACGGCCUUCGGGUUGUAAACCUCUUUCCGCAGGGACGAAGCGUAAGUGACGGUACCUGCAGAAGAAGCACCGGCUAACUAUGUG